GGUUCCAUAGUGUAGCGGUUAGCACAUCUGCUUUACACGCAGAAGGUCCUGGGUUUGUGCCCCAGUGGAGCCA
rnacentral:tRNA from 1 species